UACGGGGGGGGUAAGCGUUGUUCGGAAUUACUGGGCGUAAAGGGCUCGUAGGCGGCCAACUAAGUCAGACGUGAAAUCCCUCAGCUUAACUGGGGAACUGCGUCUGAUACUGGAUGGCUUGAGUUUGGGAGAGGGAUGCGGAAUUCCAGGUGUAGCGGUGAAAUGCGUAGAUAUCUGGAGGAACACCGGUGGCGAAGGCGGCAUCCUGGACCAAUACUGACACUGAGGAGCGAAAGCCAGGGGAGCAAACGGG
rnacentral:rRNA from 1 species